ACUCCUACGGGAGGCAGCAGUGGGGAAUAUUGGACAAUGGGCGCAAGCCUGAUCCAGCAAUGCCGCGUGGGUGAAGACGGCCUGCGGGUUGUAAAGCCCUUUAGGCGGGGAGGAACGACGGGACGCUAAUAUCGUUUCGAAGUGACGUUACCCGCGGAAUAAGCACCGGCUAACUCCGUGCCAGCAGCCGCGGUAAU
rnacentral:rRNA from 1 species